GGUAUGCGCAGUAGACAAUGGGGUCAUGUCGGACCUGCUGUCGAAGCAUCUUUCCAUCUUCUCCAUAAAGAACGUUCUCUCCCUCCACGUCCUCCUUGACUACUUGGGCACCAAGAAGCUCCACCAGAUCACCAACGACACUGCUCUCUCAGCCACCAUGUAUCAGGCCACCGGUUCUGCUUCUGGAUCCUCUGGGUUCGUUAAUAUUACAGAUCUCAAAGGCGGCAAGGUU